rnacentral:rRNA from 1 species
GAUGAACGCUGGCGGCGUGCCUAAUACAUGCAAGUCGAGCGAACAGACGAGGAGCUUGCUCCUCUGACGUUAGCGGCGGACGGGUGAGUAACACGUGGAUAACCUACCUAUAAGACUGGGAUAACUUCGGGAAACCGGAGCUAAUACCGGAUAAUAUAUUGAACCGCAUGGUUCAAUAGUGAAAGACGGUUUUGCUGUCACUUAUAGAUGGAUCCGCGCCGCAUUAGCUAGUUGUUAAGUUAACGGCUUACCAAGGCAACGAUGCGUAGCCGACCUGAUAGGGGGAUAGGCGACCCUAGAACUUAGCCAGGGUCCAGACGACUACGGGAGGGAGCAGUAGGGAAUCGUCGGCAAUGGGCGAGAGCCUGACGGAGUAACGGCGAGUGAGAUAUGAAGGUGUUGCGAUCGUAAAGCCCUGUUAUGAGUGAAGAACCAAUGUGUAAGUAACUAUGCACGGAUUGACGGUACCUAAUAAGAAAGCCCCGGCUAACUACGUG